UACGUAGGGUGCAAGCGUUGUCCGGAAUUAUUGGGCGUAAAGAGCUCGUAGGCGGUUUGUCGCGUCGAAUGUGAAAACCCGGGGCUCAACCCCGGGCCUGCAUUCGAUACGGGCAGACUAGAGUUCGGUAGGGGAGUCUGGAAUUCCUGGUGUAGCGGUGAAAUGCGCAGAUAUCGGGAGGAACACCAGUGGCGAAGGCGGCGACCUGGGCCAAUACUGACGCUGAGGUGCGAAAGCGUGGGGAGCAAACAGG
rnacentral:rRNA from 1 species